CGGGAUGUGGCUGAAUAGUUAAGCAUCUCAUUUACGCUGAGAAGACACCCAUGCAAAUUGGGUCACCCCGA
rnacentral:tRNA from 1 species